rnacentral:rRNA from 1 species
GCGGUAAUACGGAGGGUGCGAGCGUUAAUCGGAAUUACUGGGCGUAAAGCGCAUGCAGGUGGUUUGUUAAGUCAGAUGUGAAAGCCCGGGGCUCAACCUCGGAAUUGCAUUUGAAACUGGCAAACUAGAGUACUGUAGAGGGGGGUAGAAUUUCAGGUGUAGCGGUGAAAUGCGUAGAGAUCUGAAGGAAUAACCGGUGGCGAAGGCGGCCCCCCUGGACCAGAUACUGACACUCAGAGUUCGCGAAAGCGUGGGGAGCAAACAGGAUUAGAUACCCUGGUAG